rnacentral:rRNA from 1 species
AUUGAACGCUGGCGGCAGGCCUAAUACAUGCAAGUCGAGCGGACGAAUGGAGAUUUCUCCUGGAUUCAGCGGCGGACGGGUGAGUAAGUCCUAGGAAGCUACCCGGUAUAUGAGGAUAACGUCCCGAAACGGGCCCGAAUACCGCAUAGGUUCUGAGUUAGAAAGGGGUGGAUCUUCGGACCUCACUCUAUUAGAUGAGCCUUGUACGUAUUAGCUAGUUGGUUGGGUAAAGGCGUACCAAGGCGACGAUCCGUAACUGAUCUGAGAGGAUGAUCAGUCACACUGGAACUGAGACACGGUCCAGACUCCUACGGGAGGCAGCAGUGGGGAAUCUUGGACAAUGGGCGAAAGCCUGAUGCAGCAAUGCCGCGUGUGUGAAGAAGGUCUUCGGAUUGUAAAGCACUUUAAGUUGGGAGGAAGGAAAGUAAGUUAAUCCCUUGCUGUUUUGACGUUACCUACACAAUAAGCCCCGGCUAACUUCGUG